UGGUAUAGCAAGUAUUGGUGGGAACACAAAGUGAUGGGUCCUGGCACAGUGCUCAGGGUUACAGAUAAAAGGCUUGAUGCAGACACCUCCCCCAAGCCCACAAUUUUUCUUCCUUCAAUGGCUGAAAUCAAAUUCCACGAGGCUGGAACAUAUCUCUGUCUUCUUGAGAAUUUUUUCCCCGAUGUUAUCAAGAUAGACUGGAAAGAAAAGAAUAGCAAAAGAAUUCUGAAAUUCCAGCAGGCAAACACCGUGAAGACUAAGGACACAUACAUGACAUACACCUGGCUGACCCUCACUAAAAUGUCAAUAGCUAAAGAACACAAAUGUAUCGUCAAGCAUGAGAAUAAUAAAGGAGAAGUUGGUCAAGAGGUUCUUUUUCAUUCAAUGAAAAAAGAGCUCGCUGCCAUUAAGUCUAUAGAAGCUUCUCUGAAAGAUGAAAAUGACCCCCUACAGCUGCAGUUCAUGAACACCUCUGCCUACUACACCUACGUCCUCCUCCUGGUCAAGAGCAUGGUCUACUCCAUCAUUAUCGCCUACUAUCUACUCGGAAGACCGGCACCCUGUGACAACUGGAAGUUCGUAAUACGUGGUGGCACAUGUAUCUAGUGGGGCUUUCUUUUUGGGUCUGGGUCAUUUUAGUUCACAUGUCUUCUUCUAUUGUGUCAUUAUUGCAGAACGGGUUUACAAACCACAGGGCAAAAAAAAAAUGUCACUCAGCACCAAGAACAAAUUCUGCUGUGACUCAGGGGAGAGGUGGGGGACAUCCACAGGGGCUUCAGCACCAUUCUCUCCUUAUUGUCCACCUGCUCCUCAGCCACCAGUACCCUGGCCUUCGAGCACACCCAGCGUGCAGCUUCCCUAGCAUCCUCUGGGCCUCUUUAUCCAGAUAACUGCCUGGAGGCCUUUUACUCUACAUUUCUGGAAGUUGCCAUCUUUGCUACCUGAACUUUGUGCUGGUUUUCAUAGACACAGUAAAAAUAAUCAA